GCAUUGGUGGUUCUGUGGUAGAAUUCUCACCUUCCAAGUGGGAGACCGAGGCUUGAUUCCUAGCCAAUGUA
rnacentral:tRNA from 1 species